rnacentral:rRNA from 1 species
CCUGGCGGCCUUAGGGCGGUGGUCCAACCUGACCCCAUGCCGAACUCAGAAGUGAAACGCCGUAGCGCCGAUGGUAGUGUGGGGUCUCCCCAUGCGAGAGUAGGGAACUGCCAGGC